AUGGCGGCGGAGAGGGACGUCGACGACCUGCCGCGGAACGCGGCCAACUACACGGCGCUCACGCCGCUCUGGUUCCUCGAGCGCGCCGCGCUGGCGCACCCGGCCCGCGCGUCCCUCGUGCACGGCGCCCUGCGCUACACCUGGGCCGACACCUACCGCCGCUGCCGCCGCCUCGCCUCCGCCCUCGCCCGCCGCUCCGUCGCCCACGGGAGCACGGUGGCUGUAAUAGCUCCAAAUAUCCCAGCAAUUUAUGAAGCUCAUUUUGGAGUCCCCAUGGCUGGAGCAGUGGUCAACUGUGUCAACAUUCGAUUAAAUGCUCCCACUGUUGCAUUUCUGUUGGAGCACUCGUCAGCUGAAGUUGUGAUGGUUGACCAAGAAUUUUUCUCCCUGGCAGAGGAUUCUUUGAGGAUUAUAGCAGAUCAAAAGAAAGGUUCUUUCAAAAAGCCACUUGUAAUAGUUAUUGGUGAUCAUACCUGUGAUCCUUCAGCCCUCCAAGAUGCUUUGAGAACAGGGGCAAUCGAAUAUGAGAAGUUCUUGGAAACUGGCGACCCUGAAUUUGCAUGGAAACCACCGCAGGAUGAAUGGAAGAGCAUUGCCUUAGGUUAUACUUCUGGAACGACAUCUAGCCCAAAGGGUGUGGUUUUGCAUCACAGGGGUGCUUACCUAAUGUCACUCAGUGGUGCUCUUGUAUGGAAAAUGAACGAUGGCGCGGUUUACCUGUGGACUUUGCCGAUGUUCCACUGCAAUGGCUGGUGCUAUACAUGGACGCUUGCUGCUAUCUGUGGAACAAGCAUAUGUCUUCGUCAGGUCACAGCGAAGGCUAUCUUCUCAGCGAUAGCCAACCAAGGAGUGACUCACUUCUGUGGGGCGCCAGUUGUGCUCAACACCCUCAUCAACGCCCCUCCAGCUGACACCAUUCUCCCGCUGCCUCGCGUUGUGGAUGUCAUGACUGCUGGCGCUGCUCCACCGCCCUCAGUCCUUGCGGCAAUGUCGAAGCUCGGCUUCCAUGUCUCUCAUACGUAUGGCCUCUCGGAGACAUAUGGGCCAUCCACGGUGUGUGCAUGGAAGCCAGAGUGGGACAUCCUGCCAGAUGACGAGCGUGCCCGCCUCCAAGCUCGCCAGGGCAUUCGCUAUGUAGGCCUGGAGGGGCUCGACGUGGUCGACCCCAAGUCCAUGGCGCCAGUCCCAGCGGACGGCUCCACCCUCGGAGAGAUUGUCAUGCGAGGCAACGCCGUCAUGAAGGGUUACCUGAAGAACCCCAAGGCCAACGCCGAGGCAUUCGAAAAUGGGUGGUUCCAUUCCGGCGAUCUGGGCGUUCGACACCCCGACGGCUACAUCGAGGUGAAGGACCGAGCCAAGGACAUCAUCAUUUCCGGCGGGGAGAACAUCAGCAGCCUGGAGGUGGAGAAGGCGGUGUACCUGCACCCGGCUGUGCUGGAGGCGUCCGUUGUGGCGCGGGCCGACGAGCAGUGGGGGGAGUCGCCAUGCGCCUUUGUCACGCUCAAGGACGGCGUGGACGGCUCCGACGAAGCAGCAAUGGCUGCUAACGUGAUCAAGUUCUGCCGCGAGCGCCUGCCCGGCUACUGGGUCCCCAAGUCCGUGGUGUUCGGGCCGCUGCCCAAGACGGCGACGGGUAAGAUCAAGAAGCAUGAGCUGAGAGCUAAGGCCAAGGAGCUGGGCCCGGUCCGGAAGAGCAGGAUGUGA
rnacentral:rRNA from 1 species